rnacentral:rRNA from 1 species
AUUGAACGCUGGCGGCAGGCCUAACACAUGCAAGUCGAGCGGAUGAAGGGGGCUUGCUCCUGGAUUCAGCGGCGGACGGGUGAGUAAUGCCUAGGAAUCUGCCUGGUAGUGGGGGAUAACGUCCGGAAACGGGCGCUAAUACCGCAUACGUCCUGAGGGAGAAAGUGGGGGAUCUUCGGACCUCACGCUAUCAGAUGAGCCUAGGUCGGAUUAGCUAGUUGGUGGGGUAAAGGCCUACCAAGGCGACGAUCCGUAACUGGUCUGAGAGGAUGAUCAGUCACACUGGAACUGAGACACGGUCCAGACUCCUACGGGAGGCAGCAGUGGGGAAUAUUGGACAAUGGGCGAAAGCCUGAUCCAGCCAUGCCGCGUGUGUGAAGAAGGUCUUCGGAUUGUAAAGCACUUUAAGUUGGGAGGAAGGGCAGUAAGUUAAUACCUUGCUGUUUUGACGUUACCAACAGAAUAAGCAUCGGCUAACUUCGUG